rnacentral:lncRNA from 1 species
ACGAAUAGGAAGACUCACGUUUAUCGACACCAACGGAGAGGAGGAAAACUUCAACCAGACGUCAUAGGACGAGAGGUAGACUCACAAUGCAAUGGACCAUGAUAUGCUAUGACCUAAUAUGAGAUGGUAUGUACAAUGAUAGGUGCAAAUUUGAGGUGCUACAGCUGCCCCUAUUCAAUCAGCUGGGAACCCGAACGGAUGAUAGCAGUGGCUAUCAGACUUUCAGGGUAACCAGGGAUUGAAUACCAAGAACCGUAGAAUUUGCACAAUAGGGAUCCACCACUGGAAACGUCCACUGGGAUUUGAUUUUUAUUACUGGGUAUAUAUUUUUGUUUUUGUUUUCAACGGGUAUAACCACAUCCAGACACCGCAACGACGAUGAAUGGGAAAAGAAAUCACAACUAGAUGCCAACGGACAACUAGGAAAAAACUCAACGUUCACCAAGACCAACGGAGAGGUAAAUCCACAAGGGGACAGGUACAACUAGACGUCAUAGGACGAAUAGGAAGACUCACGUUUAUCAACACCAACGGAGAGGAGGAAAACUCAGCCAGACGUCAUAGGACGAAAGGGAGACUCACGUUUAUCGACACCAACGGAGAGGAGGAUAACUUCAACCAGACGUCAUAGGACGAAAGGGAGACUCACGUUUAUCGACACCAACGGAGAGGAGGAAAACUCAGCCAGACGUCAUAGGACGAAAGGGAGACUCACGUUUAUC